UGGGGAAUUUUGGACAAUGGGCGAAAGCCUGAUCCAGCAAUGCCGCGUGUGUGAAGAAGGCCUUCGGGUUGUAAAGCACUUUUGUCCGGAAAGAAAUCCUUGGCUCUAAUACAGUCGGGGGAUGACGGUACCGGAAGAAUAAGCACCGGCUAACUACGUGCCAGCAGCCGCGGUAAUACGUAGGGUGCAAGCGUUAAUCGGAAUUACUGGGCGUAAAGCGUGCGCAGGCGGUUUGCUAAGACCGAUGUGGAAUCCCCGGGCUCAACCUGGGAACUGCAUUGGUGACUGGCAGGCUAGAGUAUGGCAGAGGGGGGUAGAAUUCCACGUGUAGCAGUGAAAUGCGUAGAGAUGUGGAGGAAUACCGAUGGCGAAGGCAGCCCCCUGGGCCAAUACUGACGCUCAUGCACGAAAGCGUGGGGAGCAAACAGGAUUAGAUACCCUGGUAGUCCACGCCCUAAAACGAUGUCAACUAGUUGUUGGGGGAUUCAUUUCCUUAGUAACGUAGCUAACGCGUGAAGUUGACCGCCUGGGGAGUACGGUCGCAAGAUUAAAACUCAAAUGAAUUGACGGGGUCAUAGCUGUUUCCU
rnacentral:rRNA from 1 species